CCAGUCAGCAAUCUCACAAACUGCAGAGGUUAGGGGGUGCUGAGGGCUAAAACCAGUUACUGAACAGUGAUGACUGGCAGGCUGCUGAAUAACUCGGGAAGACCAGUCUGACAGAUGGACAGGACUAAGAUUCAGACUAUGGCUGUUAGAAAAAGGAAACAUCUAGUGUGGACCACUGUCAGGGGAGGUCUGGCAGAGAAAUGAGGACUACCGUCUUUCCAAGGGUCAUGGGAGAGGUAUCUGAAGGCUACUGGAGUGUGGCCUCUCAGCAAAGGACUAGAAAGCACCAGUGGAAGACAAGAAAUUCUAUCAAAGAUGGAAAGGCAUAGCCAAACUGUGGAAGGAGCCUCGGUGUCCAUCGAAAGAUGAAUGGAUAAAGAAGAUGUGGUUUAUGUAUACAAUGGAAUAUUCCUCAGCCAUUAGGAACGACAAAUACCCACCAUUUGCUUCAACGUGGAUGGAACUGGAGGGUAUUAUGCUGAGUGAAAUGAUCUUGUAUAUGGUUUUAAGUUUCCUGCCAUCUCCAAUUUAUCUUCUUUCUGAGUAAAAUACAAGCCUGAGAAAAGAACGGAGGUUAACCUAAACCAAGAAGCCAUGGGGUUUCCUGCCACUGUUGAUCCUUAACAAGCCUCGUACACAGUAAUCCUGAAAACAGUGCCUCAUGUACCAUAUUAAAUGGCAUUAGACCUUUAAGAAAAAAACGGUUAUUUCAUUAAAAAUGAAAUCUUA